ensembl:lncRNA
AAUUUAAUAUAAACGGCUGUCAUAAUGUAAUGUCUUACUAACGUUUAACGUCAAUUUAUUCUUCAUAUAAUGUAUUGUAUUGAUAUGUGUCAAAAUUAAAUAAAUAAAUGGACAUUUGUACAGGAAAAAUUCUUUUUUUGUUACUUUGUAAAUUCUUUAUUUAUUAAAACAAAUCAUUUUCUUUUUAAAUGUAUCUGUAUUUUAUAGAACUUUACAUCACCGUAGCAGGUUUCCUCAAAUCCUCAGAAUCUAAACAAAUGCUGUGAGUUCUCAAAUGGUGUUUGGCCCCCCGUCGUCUCUGUGGCCCCUCGUUGGACCUCCGUCCUGCAUCCGCAGGACUCUACAAUGUGGUCAUAGCUGAGCGUGAAGUUGGGCUUAGCUUAAGUUUAGGGUGACAGUUUGGAUUAAGCUGGUUCCCGUGUGACGGCUGGAUUUCUGAGGCUCCGCCUCCCACCACAGCGGGAUGACGAGGCCUACGCCGCAUUUCAAUCGGCAGCAUUCAGAGGUUCUACGAGUAAUGACAUCACAUGCAGUGAUUAACUCCUUUUGCUUUCCACCUUUUAAUGCUUGCUUUAACGCUAAGAACACAUCGGCGACCUUAAACAUCUCAACAAACCAAUCAGACCAGAUGAUUGGGGCGUUUUUGCAACAACACGUCCUGCUCUCCGUGUUUAGGGAUCCGGAGGACGACGGCUGAUCGUGGCCCGAUCGUUAGGCUCAGAAAUUAUCACCACGUAAAACAAAAGCAUUGAGUUAUUACAUUACAUUUUUAGGGUUUGCACGACCACAAACAUCGCUGGUUCCUGUGAGUCAGCUGCAUUUGGGUAUUUGGCAAGAAUCAACCUGUUGCCAAAUAGAAUUUGUCCCAUUACAGCCAAUAAUGGCUGUCAUUAUGGCACCAAUUGCAGACAAACGCUCAAUUACGAAGGAAAAAAGAACUUUAGAAUAAGCGACAUAAAGCCUGUAUUUGGUAUGUUUACAGUCUGAAACCCUCCUUCAAAUCUAAAACCAUGCCGAUUGUCUUCAGGUGAUAACGGAGGCCCCUCCUCCGCCUUUUCCCAGCCAUCCACCAGAUGGAUCAGCCAACCGUGGUCCCGCUUCCCUCGUCUGCUCCGCCCGGCCUCCUCCGCCACCCCCUCUCCCGGUUUACCCGGAUCACCCUCCCACUGCCUUUGCCAGUUGGUCACUGUUGCAUUGUGGGGGUUUGCUGCCUGUUAUCUAGCUCCAUGCUUCAUCGCCGCCAUGGACAACCAGGUGGCAGAACUGUCUCACCUGAAGCGACAUGGAGGUAGAGGAGGGGAGAGAACCUGCUGUUUGUACGCUGCACCCACAUGAAUCACCACAAUAAAAGCCCAGAGAAAAGCUGCGGGACGGAGGCCAAAAACCAACCACCUCUGGUGUCACUUUGUCCCCCGUCACCGCUGCUUUCUCUCAGACUCCCCCGAGAGCCAGACGGAGGAGGGGAGGGGGUCCAGGCCCCCGCCAGGACGGCUAUUAGACCUCCAAACUUCUUCCAUUCGGUACAAAGACGUCAUUGAGGCUCGUCGUAGCACCUGUUGAAGUUGUGGAGGAGAUGGCAGAGGCUCUUCCUGUGUGUCUGUGGGGAGGGGGGGGUCGGGGGGGGGGGUCCACCAUCUCCCCCACACCCAACAAACUGUUUAAAGACCUUUUUUUUUCUCCAAACUGCCGCCAUGCCAGAUAAGUCAACAAAUGGGGUCCAUUGAAACUUUGUUCAUCGUGUGAGGGGCCUUUUUGUGAGAGAGGUUG